rnacentral:rRNA from 1 species
GGGCCCGCACAAGCGGUGGAGUAUGUGGUUUAAUCCGAUGCAACGCGAAGAACCUUACCAGGGUUUGACAUCCUGCGAAUCUCUUGGAAACAGGAGAGUGCCUUCGGGAACGCAGUGACAGGUGGUGCAUGGCUGUCGUCAGCUCGUGUCGUGAGAUGUUGGGUUAAGUCCCGCAACGAGCGCAACCCACGUCUUUAGUUGCCAGCAUUAAGUUGGGGACUCUAACGAUACUGCCAGUGAUAAGCUGGAGGAAGGCGGGGAUGACGUCAAGUCAUCAUGCCCCUUAUGGGCUGGGCUACACACGUGCUACAAUGGUGGUGACAGUGGGCAGCGACUUCGCGAGGAGGAGCAAAUCCCUAAAAACCAUCUCAGUUCAGAUCGUAGGCUGCAACUCGCCUACGUGAAGGCGGAAUCGCUAGUAAUCGCAGGUC